GACCCUAUAGCUCAGUUGGUACAGCAUCCUAUAUAUUAUGGGAAGGUACUAAGUUCAAAUCCUUGUGUGGUUG
rnacentral:tRNA from 1 species